rnacentral:rRNA from 1 species
UGGGGAAUCUUGGACAAUGGGCGCAAGCCUGAUCCAGCCAUGCCGCGUGAGUGAAGAAGGCCUUCGGGUUGUAAAGCUCUUUUGUCAGGGAAGAAACGGUAGUAGCGAAUAACUACUACUAAUGACGGUACCUGAAGAAUAAGCACCGGCUAACUACGUGCCAGCAGCCGCGGUAAUACGUAGGGUGCAAGCGUUAAUCGGAAUUACUGGGCGUAAAGCGUGCGCAGGCGGUUGUGUAAGUCAGAUGUGAAAUCCCCGGGCUCAACCUGGGAAUUGCAUUUGAGACUGCACGGCUAGAGUGUGUCAGAGGGGGGUAGAAUUCCACGUGUAGCAGUGAAAUGCGUAGAUAUGUGGAGGAAUACCGAUGGCGAAGGCAGCCCCCUGGGAUAACACUGACGCUCAUGCACGAAAGCGUGGGGAGCAAACAGGAUUAGAUACCCGCGUAGUCCCUGAGCGGGCUGGCAAGGCGCAU